rnacentral:rRNA from 1 species
UACGUAGGGUGCAAGCGUUAAUCGGAAUUACUGGGCGUAAAGCGUGCGUAGGCGGCUAUGUAAGACAGAUGUGAAAUCCCUGGGCUUAACCUAGGAACUGCAUUUGUGACUGCAUUGCUAGAGUGUGGUAGAGGGAGAUGGAAUUCCCGGUGUAGUGGUGGAAUGCGUAGAGAUCCGGAGGAACACCAGUGGCGAAGGCGACACGCUGGGCCGUACCUGACACUGAACCGCGACAGCAUGGGGAGCAAACAGG